rnacentral:rRNA from 1 species
CAGGAAAGUGCUGGCGUGCUAAUACAUGCAAGUCGAGCGAACAGACAAGGAGCUUGCUCCUUUGACGUUAGCGGCGGACGGGUGAGUAACACGUGGGUAACCUACCUAUAAGACUGGGAUAACUUCGGGAAACCGGAGCUAAUACCGGAUAAUAUUUCGAACCGCAUGGUUCGAUAGUGAAAGAUGGUUUUGCUAUCACUUAUAGAUGGACCCGCGCCGUAUUAGCUAGUUGGUAAGGUAACGGCUUACCAAGGCGACGAUACGUAGCCGACCUGAGAGGGUGAUCGGCCACACUGGAACUGAGACACGGUCCAGACUCCUACGGGAGGCAGCAGUAGGGAAUCUUCCGCAAUGGGCGAAAGCCUGACGGAGCAACGCCGCGUGAGUGAUGAAGGUCUUCGGAUCGUAAAACUCUGUUAUUAGGGAAGAACAUACGUGUAAGUAACUAUGCACGUCUUGACGGUACCUAAUCAGAAAGCCACGGCUAACUACGUGCCAGCAGCCGCGGUAAUACGUAGGUGGCUAGCGUUAUCCGGAAUUAUUGGGCGUAAAUCGCGCGUAGGCGGUUUUUUAAGUCUGAUGUGAAAAGCCCUCGGCCUCAACCG